UCCAGCAUCAUGGAUCAGGACAGAGAGGAGGGAGUCCCUCCCUCUAAAACCACUCAGAGGAACCAGCCUGGACCUGGACCUGGACCUGGAUCUGAGCCCAGCUGUUUGUCCUUUAAGAGCGAUCGGUCAAGGGAUGCUCCUCUUUAUUUUAAAUCAGACCCACAAAGAGUGGACCAGCAGAGCUCAGAGCUUCCCAGUGGUCAGUCUGCCCAGCAGCAUCAAACACAG